UGUUCUUGACUGCUACCAAAAAAAAAAAAAAUGUGCCUUUUGGUUGAAGAAAAAGUGAGACAUAGCAUGGAGAUUCAGUGCUCAGAAAUUACUGAAUGGCUACCUCACUCCUUGGCUUACUUUUUCAGGACUGUUCUAUUAUCUUUAGGACAUGCACAGAGAAUCAUACAUGAUUUUUGGAAAGAACACAGUUAACUGCUACGAGGUUUGCUUGGGUUUGCUUGAGCAACAGUGGACUUCUUGUUCUUGACUACUACUACAAAAAUUAAAAAAACGUGCCUUUUGUUUGGAAGAAAAAGUGAAACAUAGGAUGGAGAUUCAGUGCUCAGAAAUUAUUGAAUGACUGCCUCAUUCCUUGGCUUACUUUUUCAGGACUGUUCUAUUAUCUUUAGGACAUAACCAGAGGAUCAUACAUGAUUUUUGGAAACAACACAGUAAUUACUAUGAAGUUUUCAGGGCCCCUAGAGUGUUUUUGUUGCACUAAACUGAUGAAAGAAGAUGGACAGACAGCUGCGAUAUUAACAUCUUAGAAUUAGAGCAAAUAUUAGUAGGAAGAAGCAUGAUAUUUUUGGUGUAUAUUAGACCCUAUGCCACAAGCAUUAGAAAUAUUGGCUGCCUCUCUUUAUUGCUCUUACAAAAUGCCCCACUGAUCAAAAUAUCCUGAUGUGACCUAAGAUGAGUUCACAACAAUUAGACUAAUGAUCAAUCUGUUGCUAACAUGUACGCAGGACCGAUCGCAUGCUAAUUCUAUGGUUGAGAAAAGGCAUCAAGCCCUUGUACAAGUGAGCAGAGCAUGAGACUUUGAGAUUUUCCACAAUGAAGGAGAAUUCAGGCCUUAGAAGAUAACAGAUACAGGUGGGGGUGGCUUCUACAAUCUAUCAAGUAUCAACUGGGUGCUGACUCAACAACUGUCCAUGAUGGUCCUUCUGCGGUAGCUAGUGGUAUUCUAGUUGCUUUGUUGUUCAUCGCAUCUCCAUGUAAGACACUCUUGUACCUCCCGUUACUCAGAAUAUUUUGAAGAUAAUAAAAAACAAUUACCAUUUGCAAAA